CUCUUGGGAGUCUUCCUCAUUAAUUGCGGUCUUCUCCUUUUUGUGUGUGUGUAUAAAAGUGCAUGUGUAUGAGUAUGUAUAAAUGAAGUUCAUGAAUGUGAUUAUUGCUUGCUUGUGUAUGGCUCUACAUGCAUGCCACUGUUUGUACGUGUGUGCGGGUGUCUGUGUGUUGUGUGUGUGUGUGCGCCAGUGGCAGGGCCAUUGAGAGCCACGCAGCGUCCAGCAACAUGAAGGCUUUCUCGUCACGCUCUCUCACUGUUUUCAGCCUAAUCAACACGUUGCAUUCCCACCAACUCGUUUGUGUAACAUAACAUCACGUUCAGCCCUGCGUAAAUCACAAGUCUUUGCCCUCUCUGAGAAUCUGAGUUCCUCAUAUGGACAUUUCAGAAGCUGGCCCGGCUUCGACAUUCUUGACUGUCAUUGUUACAAAAGAGAACACAAUUAAAAUGAAACCGCAGACAGCACUCUCUCUGCCAAAACACACGCGAUGGCGAAUCCUACUUCCUUAUUGGCUCAAAUUGAUGCCAUGUGAUAACCCACCUGUAGCGCCGAUCACCUGUGUUUACCAGAGAGGGUGCUGUUUCUGUUUGCUGUUGUUGGGUGACUAUUUACAGUUCCAUGGUACCCAAUGUGUGACACACCCUGUACCCGCUUCUAGGAUGCCUAGAGAUGUCUCUGUAGGCCCCACUGGACCAAAGCAGGCUUCCUGAUACACAUAGUUCACCAAGUACUACUGAGGAUGUUGUUUUGAGAACGAGGCUGAGCGAGAGAGAGAGAGAGCGAGAGAGCGAGAGAGAGAGAGUCCAACCACAGAAAUCUCUUAAUUUCCCCCUUUGAAAAAAGUACUAUAUUAUGUCUGUAUUCCAUAGCCCCCGGCUAGUUUCCUUGUACAUACAGAGCUAGGAUUUGUUUUGUAUUGUCCUCUGUAACAGUGUGUUCAUCUGUUGGAGAGGCCUUGUAUCAGUAGUUUCAUUAAGCACAUCUUUACUGUCUUUUGCAUCGUUCCAUGUUUUGAUUACCUAGAUGGUUCAUGAAAAAGGAAAGUAGAUCUAUUUAUCUAAACCUGAAAAAGUCUAAAGUUAUUUAAUGUAUUAAAAUUUGGGAAGUAUCAUUUAACUGUAGAUGAUAUAAUCUGCUUUUUAAAUAAAGUGGUUUUGUAGCUAACUUCAA
ensembl:lncRNA